UUUACGCUCACGGUGUAGGAGUCUCCCUAACCAUAGGCACAUAAGACAACCCAGGUGACCAGCCAGACUACCUGUUAAUUCAUUGCAGUAGAGUAGAUAAAACCUGAAGAUAAGGCAACUCCCAGAUUCAUGUUGUGGGAAGAAGACAGUCUGGGGUAUAAAAACUAAUUUUAUCUUUUACCCAGUAUGUCAUUGGCAUCAGGCUCUAGUAGGUAUUAGCAUAAUUAAGUUUCAGAUUACUGGAUAUUGAGUUGCUGACAUUGGCCAUGAUGGAUGGACUUUUUUGCUAUACUAGGUUGAAGUCUUUUCUGCUGAAAGAUUGAAUUGUGUUCUGUCUACUGGCCGGCCUAGGAUUCACUUGGAGGGAUGUAUAAAACUGAAGAGUUGCUACAUUGAAAUAUGCUUAAAAUGAAUAUCCACCUGAAUUCAGUAAAAGAUGAAAGAUGGCUGGGUACUUGGCUGGCUCAAUAGGUAGAACAUGCAACUCUUGAUCUCGGCUCCAGGUUGUGAGUUCGAGCACCACAUUGGGUGUAGAGAGUACUUAAAAAAUAAAAUCUUAAA